CCUCAGAGUAUUUGCUUUGCUGUGCCAUUUAGCUGUUUACAAAGCCCAGGGCUUUGCUUCUGAUACGCAGUCAGUAAAGGGCAACAGAGUAUUUUUAUUUUUAAUUGCAAUGUAAAUGUGUGUGUUGGCCUUGUAGGAGGCAAUGUGCUGACUCUCGUGAGGUUACCCUGAUCAAGGACAAAUUUGACCAGAAAAUGGUACUUUGAGAGAAUAUUGGCAGUCAAUAUUUUGGUUUAAUGCAGAAUUUUUGAAAAUCGGGGGAAGCAGCCAGGCUGUUGCUUGGGCCGUGUCCAAGUCAUUUCACUUACUGCUGAUCCUUCCCGUUUUUGCCUUCACAGCUCUACUCGUCCAGGCCCAGGCAAAGAAUUGCUUAAACAUCUACAGAAGUUCCUUGUUUUCUUCUUGAACUGGAUCCUGGAGUUGUGCUAAGCCUUGGCAUCCACAGGGACCUCAAGAUGGAAAGUGCGGUUUUCUGGGGAAAGGAGCUUGCUGGUGGAGCAAGUUCGAAAAGAUCUUAGCAGUUCCAGUAAUUACUCAUUUCAUCAACCCAUCUAUAUUUAAAGAGGGAAAAAAAAGAAAGCUCCUCCAGUGUUGUUUCCUGCAAAGACCAUUCUUAAGAGCUCGUUGGACAGCGCAGGACUCUUGAAGUGAUAGCUAAUUGGUGAAAGAAAGGCCCUGAUUGUCUUGAGGGAGCUGGAAAGUGCUGCGUGUGCUGCUGAAAGGGACUAGGGAGAAGGUGCCUGGUUUCGCCGAGCAGCUGCUGCUGGAGAUGUUUGGAGAUUACAUCAGCAUUGGAAAAAAGGGGCAAAAAAAAAAAAAAAAAAAAAAGAAGUCCAACUUCACAGAGAGGGAGUUUAUGGAGGUUUUUUUUUCCCCCCCCUCUCCCUCCUUCCAAAGGUCUUCUGACAAUACUGUCAUUGUCAAUAUAAGAGUUGUUAAUUCUUUAUGAAUAGCACAUGGGGCCUCUUGACUAAAUAGUACGUUACAUGUCCCAAAUCUGUCAGCUGGACUCUUCUCUCACAUGCUAGUGAGAUCACUUUGAUUGGAAUGUUAGAGGAAUCGCUGGGCUGGCCGUGCAGAACUGAAUACUGCAUUAUAUAAUUAGAUCUCCCAGAGUAUUUUGUUCACAUUACCUCAUUAUUCUAGCUUAAAUAUGGAAUCGGCCCUUUUGAUGAUUUUGCUGGUUGUAAUUAUAUUAAUACGAUUCAUUUUGUGGUCCUGUCUUAGUGCUUACAUAGAUCAUAAACUGUCCCGAAGGUUUCCUGACUCAAGGAAAGAGGACUGAGAGACUUCAAAAGGCUCCUUCAGGUUUGAAUUGACAGUGUGGGGGGGAGCUGCAUAAGGUAAAUGGAGCUGGAGCAGCUUUUACUUUGGGAUCUGAUGAGAGAGAAACGACGUGCCGAGACUGCAACCGAGUGAGGAUUCUUCAGAAAGCCACGUGCUGACAGAGGAGAAAGAGUGACAACUGAACCAGCCCAAUGACUUCCUCUCCAGCUUGG